AGUAGAAUGGCUGAGGUAUAGGCAAUAAAUUGUAAAUUUAUGUACGAAUUAGAUUCUUCUACUA
rnacentral:tRNA from 1 species